GACGAACGCUGGCGGCGUGCUUAACACAUGCAAGUCGAACGUGAUUUUUGUGGAAAUUCUUUCGGGAAUGGAGAUGAAAUGAAAGUGGCGAACGGGUGAGUAACACGUGAGCAUCCUACCUUACACAGGGGGAUAGCCGUUGGAAACGACGAUUAAUACCGCAUGAGACAACAGAAUCGCAUGAUAUAGGGGUCAAAGAUUUAUCGGUGUAAGAAGGGCUCGCGUCUGAUUAGCUAGUUGGAAGGGUAAAGGCCUACCAAGGCGACGAUCAGUAGCCGGUCUGAGAGGAUGAACGGCCACAUUGGAACUGAGACACGGUCCAAACUCCUACGGGAGGCAGCAGUGGGGAAUAUUGCACAAUGGGGGGAACCCUGAUGCAGCGACGCCGCGUGAGCGAAGAAGGUUUUCGAAUCGUAAAGCUCUGUCCUAUGAGAAGAUAAUGACGGUAUCAUAGGAGGAAGCCCCGGCUAAAUACGUG
rnacentral:rRNA from 1 species